rnacentral:rRNA from 1 species
AGAACUUUGAAAAGAGAGUUAAACAGUACGUGAAAUUGUUGAAAGGGAAACGAUUGAAGUCAGUCAUACUAACGGGAAAUCAACCUCUUGAGUUUGGUCUCGUGGGUUUCGAAGAG